GCUUGUCUCAAAGAUUAAGCCAUGCAUGUCUCAGUAUAAGCUUUUACACGGCGAAACUGCGAAUGGCUCAUUAAAACAGUUAUCGUUUCUUUGGUGGUUAUUGAUUACAUGGAUAACCGUGGUAAUUCUAGAGCUAAUACAUGCGCCCAGACCCAACUUUUAGGAAGGGUUGUAUUUAUUAGUUACAGAACCAACCCAGGCUCUGCCUGGUCUUGUGGUGAUUCAUAAUAACCGAAUGAAUCGCAUUGCAUCAGCUGGCGAUGAAUCAUUCAAGUUUCUGACCUAUCAGCUUUCGACGGUAGGGUAUGGGCCUACCGUGGCAAUGACGGGUAACGGAGAAUUAGGGUUCGAUUCCGGAGAGGGAGCCUGAGAAACGGCUACCACAUCUAAGGAAGGCAGCAGG
rnacentral:rRNA from 1 species